rnacentral:rRNA from 1 species
AACGAACGCUGGCGGCAGGCUUAACACAUGCAAGUCGAACGCCCCGCAAGGGGAGUGGCAGACGGGUGAGUAACGCGUGGGAACAUACCCUUUCCUGCGGAAUAGCUCUGGGAAACUGGAAUUAAUACCGCAUACGCCCUACGGGGGAAAGAUUUAUCGGGGAAGGAUUGGCCCGCGUUGGAUUAGCUAGUUGGUGGGGUAAAGGCCUACCAAGGCGACGAUCCAUAGCCGGUCUGAGAGGAUGAUCAGCCACAUUGGGACUGAGACACGGCCCAAACUCCUACGGGAGGCAGCAGUGGGGAAUAUUGGACAAUGGGCGCAAGCCUGAUCCAGCCAUGCCGCGUGAGUGAUGAAGGCCUUAGGGUUGUAAAGCUCUGUCCUCAAGGAAGAUAAUGACGGUAGUCGGAGAAGAAGCCCCGGCUAACUUCGUGCCAGCAGCCGCAGUAACAC